rfam:Pirellula staleyi DSM 6068, complete genome.
GCGGCAGUAGCUCAGUGGUAGAGCGCUAGCUUCCCAAGCUGGAUGUCGCGGGUUCGACCCCCGUCUGCCGCU